rnacentral:rRNA from 1 species
UACGUAGGGUGCGAGCGUUGUCCGGAAUUAUUGGGCGUAAAGAGCUCGUAGGCGGUCUGUCGCGUCGGAUGUGAAAACUCGGGGCUCAACCCCGAGCCUGCAUUCGAUACGGGCAGACUAGAGUUCAGUAGGGGAGACUGGAAUUCCUGGUGUAGCGGUGAAAUGCGCAGAUAUCAGGAGGAACACCGGUGGCGAAGGCGGGUCUCUGGGCCGAUACUGACGCUGAGGAGCGAAAGCGUGGGGAGCGAACAGG